rnacentral:rRNA from 1 species
ACUCAAAGGAAUUGACGGGGGCCCGCACAAGCGGUGGAGCAUGUGGUUCAAUUCGAUGCAACGCGAAGAACCUUACCCGGGUUUGAACUGCUGACGAAUAAUUCAGAGAUGGAUUAGGCUAGCAAUAGACGUUAGCAGAGGUGCUGCAUGGCUGUCGUCAGCUCGUGUCGUGAGAUGUUGGGUUAAGUCCCGCAACGAGCGCAACCCUUGCCUCUAGUUGCUCGGCCGUAAGGUCAGCACUCUAGAUGGGACUGCCGGUGAUAAACCGGAGGAAGGUGGGGAUGACGUCAAGUCAUCAUGGCCUUUAUGUCCGGGGCUACACACGUGCUACAAUGGACGGUACAAAGGGUCGCCAAACCGCAAGGUGGAGCCAAUCCCGAUAAAACCGCCCUCAGUUCGGAUUGCAGUCUGCAACUCGACUGCAUGAAGGUGGAAUCGCUAGUAAUCGCGGAUCAGCAUGCCGCGGUGAAUACGUUUCCGGGCCUUGUACACACCGCCCGU